CUUCGACGGACUGCUGCCGGGGCGCGACAUCGCCGUCGACAUGAGAUUACCUGGUCUUUUUGCACAGCAUGCUUCCGCACACUGGAAUAGACUUCCCAGAGCAUUGGUGAAUGUAAAACGUGUGACGCAGCCCAAGCUUCGGACUUUUUUAUGCACCAGUCGAACGCUGCCUGCUUCAGUACCUCGGAUGCGGCCCAAUGCGUUCUUUACAAGCCCUGUCAUUUUGUCUCUUCGUUAUGAUGAGAAAACAUCAAAUGGGCAAUUCAGCGAAAAAGCCGGCGUCGAUCUGUAGCAGCCAAACGGCACCUCAAUUCCCAUUGGCUACGACGCCACGUCACGUGCGCGCCUCGACGGAGUAGAGCGGGCGAAAGGGAGCCCCUGCUGUUUCUCUGGCGCGCCAGGUGUUGCCUGAGGGGAAAGGGCCUCACCGCGACGCCACGUCACCCUCGCUCUCGGACGCCUGCAUUAUCCACGCGUUUCUUGUACGUGCAACCUCUCGCGUGUGUUCUAACUCCG